UACGAACUGUGCGAACGUUAUUCGGAAUCACUGGGCUUAAAGGGUGCGUAGGCGGCUGCCUAAGUCAGGUGUGAAAUCUCUCGGCUCAACCGGGAAACUGCGCUUGAUACUGGGCGGCUCGAGUGAGGUAGGGGUGUGUGGAACUUCCGGUGGAGCGGUGAAAUGUGUAGAUAUCGGAAGGAACGCCAGCAGCGAAAGCGGCACACUGGGCCUUUUCUGACGCUGAGGAGAACG
rnacentral:rRNA from 1 species